AAUGUCUGCUUUUCUUUGUUCCAGGCUGAGAAAACUGCUGAUUUAGUGAGUCGCUUGUUCAGGCACGGGCAGGACCACAAAACGACACAGGAGCUGCAAGCGUUUUUGGAUUUGGCCCUAUCACGGAAAGUAACUUUCUCCGCCUGCGGACUGUUCAAUGUCGAUCUGCCACUUUUGUUUGCCGCCGGAGGAGCUGUCACAAGUUAUGUUUUCUUGAUUACCCAACUCAAGUGAACGCAUGUCCUUGAUGGUUUUUUUUUUUAACAAUAUUCUAAAACGCUAUUCGACUAUCUCCAACACAGACACUGUGCAC